rnacentral:rRNA from 1 species
AUUGAACGCUGGCGGCAGGCCUAACACAUGCAAGUCGAGCGGAGCGGCGGACGGGUGCGUAAUGACUAGGAAUCUGCCUGGUCGUGGGGGAUAAGGACCGGAAACGGGCGCUAAUACCGAAUACUAUCAGAUGCGCCUAGGGCGGAUUAGCUAGUGUGUGGGGUAAAGGCCUACCAAGGAGACGAUCCGUAACUGGUCUGAGUGGAUGAUCAGUCACACUGGAACUGAGACACGGUCCAGACUCCUACGGUAGGCAGCAGUGGGGAAUAUUGUACAAUGGGCGAAAGCCUGAUCCAGCCAUGCCGCGUGUGUGAAGAAGGUCUUCGGAUUGUAAAGCACGUUAAGUUGGGAGGCGUUACCAACAGAAUAAGCACCGGCUAACUUCGUGCCAGCCGCCGCGGUAAUAC